UCCAUAGGCACAGGUCCGGGGAUGGAACUC
rnacentral:piRNA from 1 species